rnacentral:lncRNA from 1 species
GCCCUGUAGUGUAUUACAUUUCUUGAUCAAUUGUUAGAAUUUGGCAUGAAAGAUGACACAUUUAAUAAGGUAAAAAAACUAUUGGCCUUUAUAAAGGUAAAUGACAUCCUGUGGUAAAAACAUGCAGUUUUAAGUAUGUAAAAGCUGAUAGAAAACUGAUGAAAAUAUUUCUUCAGAAUAAAUGGUUUACACCACCAAAAAUCUCAGUCAUGCGACACUUUUGUGGGAAUAUUUUGUAUGGGAUAUUGUCUGCUGAUAUGAAAAGUUCACUGUAUAUCGUAAUAACAAAUAGCAUUUUUGACAGCGAUGAUAUUUUGUUUUCUUUUUACAUUUAAACGUGUUAAAUAUUACAUAUAUGUAUGUAAUAUAAUGUGUAUUUCCAUCACAGGUCUGGUCUUAAAUUUCACAUAAGGUGGUAUUAAAAAGGUCUUAAAAAGUCUUAAAUUUAACUUGUUCAUAUCUGUAGACACCCUGCAACAUAUUUUGAAGAAAAUCCACACAGCUUUUCCAUGCAAUGAUGUUCAUAAUGAACAAAAAAAAAACUAAAAGUAGUUAAUAUCUCUCAUGCUGUAAUUUGUAAAAUCAUUAUUACUAGAAAGCUGUUAUGGCUUCAGAAGAAAUUGAAUAUAGUGCAUUGACCAUUUAUUUAUUUUUUUGGUGCUUGACUGAUGAAUGGUUGUAUAUAAAUGCAAAUUGUCAUUCAUAAUGUGUCACAGUCCCUCCCUUUCAAAGAGCUUGACUAAAUGUGGUGUUCUGCAGGUCUUGAGGGAGAGAGACCGGCUCGUCUGGCCCGUGGCGAGGGAGACAGAGACGCUUACAGACGGUCUGCAGCUCCGCCUGGUGCAGACAAGAAGGCUGAAGCUGGUGCAGGUGCAGCCACAGAAUUCCAGUUUAGAGGUGGUUUUGGCCGUGGCCGAGGACAACAGCCACAGUAAUCUUCCACAUUAUCUGUACAAUAAAGGUUUAAAAGUACUGCUGUGUCCGACUUCUUCAUAUAUUGGUUUCAGAUACUUAUGAAUGCAUUCAUUG